CCAAUUUUCGUUGGUUUCAGUCCAUUCCACACCCUGUUUGUUUUUGUCCGAUACAGCUGUGGAAAGAAUACAGCCUUCUUUUUCCGAUUACAACCGCAUUCCUUUUGAAGGGAUAUAAAAGUGCAGCAGGAGGAGGGCAGAGUGACUCUUCCCUGUCUGCUAUGGACCAGCACAUUGCCAGCUUAAUUGGAGAGACCUCAGUGUCUGGCAUCAUUUGUGAUGGUGAUACUGAGGACCCUCUCCCAGACCCUGAAGCAAUACCAGAGACACCAACUGAUGGCCUACCAGAAGGGUGUCCUCUUUGGCGAGCGCUUCAGCUGCGCCGCCUGUUUUGACUGACGCAGUCCUGAAACAACAACAAGAGAUCAACACAUCAAUUAUUGGACUCAAACAGCAGCUGGAGGAUGUAUGCAACGGCCUGAGAGAGAAAUGAAUUAUUGAAAUAACUUGUUGAUUGUGUCAAACAUGCGAGACAAAUUCUGGUGCAAUGUAAAUGUGUUUGCCUUGUCGAUUUGAUUACAAUAUUUGGAAGAACAGAUACUUAAAACCUUUGUAUGAUAUUGACUCUGGUCCUCUGUGCCAGGGCUAUGGGUGGUGGGAAACACUCCCUGUCAGGCAUGGGAUCACCGGGUCUGGGUACAUCAUUCAG